UACGGAGGGUGCGAGCGUUGUCCGGAAUCACUGGGCGUAAAGGGCGCGUAGGUGGCGGAGCAAGUCAACGGUGAAAGCUCGACGCUCAACGUCGAGUCGGCCGUCGAGACUGCUUUGCUCGAGCACUGUAGAGGCAGAUGGAAUUCCGGGUGUAGCGGUGGAAUGCGUAGAGAUCCGGAAGAACACCGGUGGCGAAGGCGGCG
rnacentral:rRNA from 1 species